rnacentral:rRNA from 1 species
UACGUAGGCAGCAAGCGUUGUUCGGAGUUACUGGGCGUAAAGGGUGCGUAGGCGGCUUUUUAAGUUUGGUGUGAAAUCUCCCGGCUCAACUGGGAGGGUGCGCCGAAUACUGAGAGGCUAGAGUGUGGGGAGAGGAAAGUGGAAUUCCUGGUGUAGCGGUGAAAUGCGUAGAUAUCAGGAGGAACACCGGUGGUGUAAACGGCUUUCUGGACCAUAACUGACGCUGAUGCACGAAAGCGUGGGUAGCAAACAGG